AUAACACUGUAUCACAUGAUUUUUGUCCUCGGUUAGCAACUAUUAUUUCCUAUUUGAUUACCCCUAGAAAGUAUGAAAACUGACUAAUAUUUCCUUCAAAUUUCGCUUUUGCUAAGUGAAUUAUUCAAACCCCAAAGAAUCCCUCU